rnacentral:hammerhead_ribozyme from 1 species
GCACUGUUGAGGAGUCCCAUAAUAGGACGAAACCAUCGUCCAGUGA